rnacentral:other from 1 species
UAUAGCCUGUGAUGUUCGCGUACUCAGAUAAUUCAACCGACAUAUCAGACUAGGGAGUCUGCGUUUAGCAAGGGAUAACAAGCCUCCUUUGAGUGGACGUUUGAACUUGCUAACAGGACACCCCCCUUGAAAAAGGCGGGUGUGAAUUAAAUGAGCAAGCGGCAUCGUGGGUUCAAA